rnacentral:tRNA from 1 species
AAGAAGUAAUAUACCAAGAAUUGAACUUCUAAUUCAACCUCCUAGUGGUGCAAAUCCAUUAAUACUUCU